UGGGGCUCUAUGGGUGAGAGUGGGCUGGAACUCUGUAUCAGUUCCCUCGAUGUUAGGCACCACCCCUGUCUGGUGUGAAGCUGGGUCCAAGCUGCAUCUCUUGCUCACAAGGGAGGCACUGACUACUCUCAGUCUACACAUGAGGAAACGGAGGCACAGAAAGGUCAAGAGCCUUGCCCGAGAUCACACAGCAAGCAGGUGAAGGAUGAAAUGAUCAGGCCAAGGUCCAGAGAGGUCAUGAUCUUCCUAAGGUCACACCGCUGGUAAGUGCCAGACCCCCAACUCCAAGUUUCCUUGAGAGGCCAGUGUUCCUUUCAACCCACCACGAAAGCUUCUCUGAAUGAGGUAAACCAAGAUAGAGAGCAGAUACUCAUGUUUUCGACAAGUAUUUGUUGAACACCUAAUAGGUAUAAGGCAGUGGGCCUGUGCUCAGGAGAGAGAGGACUGAGUGUUGACCUCUCAAAGCGCACAGUCUAGCAGGGGCCAUAUGGCAUCUAGCCAUAAGUGAAACCCUGAACAGUUGGUGACAAGGGGCACCAGGGAGGUACAAGCAAAGGGAGGGCCAGGGAGUGCUUCCAAGGGGAGGUGGCAUUUGACACAGGCCUAGGGGAGUGGGUAGAAUGUGUUCAGUGCUAAAGAUGGGAGGGAAGAAUGUUCUAGAUGAGGGGGACAAGAUGGGC
rnacentral:lncRNA from 1 species